rnacentral:rRNA from 1 species
GACGAACGCCGGCGGCGUGCCUAAUACAUGCAAGUCGAACGAACUCUGGUAUUGAUUGGUGCUUACAUCAUGAUUUACAUUUGAGUGAGUGGCGAACUGGUGAGUAACACGUGGGAAACCUGCCCAGAAGCGGGGGGAUAACACCUGGAAACAGAUGCUAAUACCGCAUAACAACUUGGACCGCAUGGUCCGAGUUUGAAAGAUGGCUUCGGCUAUCACUUUUGG